rnacentral:rRNA from 10 species
ACCUUAGGCACGCACGAUCUCGUCUGAUCUCGGAAGCUAAGCAGGGUC